GAUGAACGCUGGCGGCGUGCCUAAUACAUGCAAGUCGAGCGAACAGAUGAGGAGCUUGCUCCUCUGACGUUAGCGGCGGACGGGUGAGUAACACGUGGAUAACCUACCUAUAAGACUGGGAUAACUUCGGGAAACCGGAGCUAGUACCGGAUAAUAUAUUGAACCGCAUGGUUCAAUAGUGAAAGACGGUUUUGCUGUCACUUAUAGAUGGAUCCGCGCCGCAUUAGCUAGUUGGUAAGGUAACGGCUUACCAAGGCAACGAUGCGUAGCCGACCUGAGAGGGUGAUCGGCCACACUGGAACUGAGACACGGUCCAGACUCCUACGGGAGGCAGCAGUAGGGAAUCUUCCGCAAUGGGCGAAAGCCUGACGGAGCAACGCCGCGUGAGUGAUGAAGGUCUUCGGAUCGUAAAACUCUGUUAUUAGGGAAGAACAAAUGUGUAAGUAACUAUGCACGUCUUGACGGUACCUAAUCAGAAAGCCACGGCUAACUACGUG
rnacentral:rRNA from 1 species